GCUGGGUGUGGUGGUGCACACCUGUAAUCCCAGCUACUUGGGAGGCUGAGGCAGGAGAAUUGCUUGAACCCAGGAGGCGGAAGUUGCAGUGAGCCGAGAUUGCACCACUGCACUCCAGCCUGGGAGACAAAGCAAGACUCUGUCUCAA
ensembl:misc_RNA Metazoa_SRP Metazoan signal recognition particle RNA